rnacentral:lncRNA from 1 species
CUCCCUUCUUGUCGUCCAUCGCCACAACCACAACCCCAACCCGCGGCUCUCCCGCCCAGCCAGCCAGCCACCCUCACCAUCUCCAUCUCCUUCCUCCGUCGUCGACCCGCCUGCACUGCAUGCGCACCCACCUCUCCAUCCACCCGUUCCACCCCCACGAGCGCGCGGCGGAUGGAAACUCGCCUCACCCCACAAUGAGCCGGCCCACGCCCGACGCCGCCGAAGCCGCCGACGCGGCGCCGCCCGCGC